rnacentral:rRNA from 1 species
CCUACGGGAGGCAGCAGUGAGGAAUAUUGGACAAUGGGCGCAAGCCUGAUCCAGCCAUGCCGCGUGCAGGAAGAAGCAUCUAUGGUGUGUAAACUGCUUUUGUACAGGAAGAAACACUCCCUCGUGAGGGAGCUUGACGGUACUGUAAGAAUAAGGACCGGCUAACUCCGUGCCAGCAGCCGCGGUAAUACGGAGGGUCCGAGCGUUAUCCGGAAUCAUUGGGUUUAAAGGGUCCGUAGGCGGUUUAAUAAGUCAGUGGUGAAAUCUGGUCGCUCAACGAUCAAACGGCCAUUGAUACUGUUAGACUUGAAUUAUAAGGAAGUAACUAGAAUAUGUAGUGUAGCGGUGAAAUGCUUAGAUAUUACAUGGAAUACCAAUUGCGAAGGCAGGCUACUACUUAUGGAUUGACGCUGAUGGACGAAAGCGUGGGGAGCGAACAGGAUUAGAUACCCUGGUAGUCCACGCCGUAAACGAUGGAUACUAGCUGUUCGGAGCAAUCUGAGUGGCUAAGCGAAAGUGAUAAGUAUCCCACCUGGGGAGUACGUUCGCAAGAAUGAAACUUAAAGGAAUUGACGGCUGAGAGAGCGAGACGACGACGAGGGAGGAGG